rnacentral:sRNA from 1 species
ACACCAAUGCACAUUGAAAAAAAAAAAAAAAAAAAACAAAGCCCCCAAACUCAAGGCCACAACUGCUCCUUUUUUUGACUUUUCAAAAAUUAUUUACUUAUGUCUAUGAGUCCUCUGUCAUUUACAUAUAGUCCUGCAUGCCAGGAGAGGGAAUCAAAUCAAAUAGAUGUUGUGAGCCACCAUGUGGGUGCUGGGAAUUGAACUCAGGACCUCUGGAAGAACAGCCAGCACUUUUAACCACUGAGUCAUCUCUCUAGGCCCUUUUCUGACUUUAACAUUAGCAUUUCCUGACCAAGAGAAUGCAGAAAAACAUUGUGGAGUUCAGAAGCUACAAGUCUAACCCACUGUGGGUCUAUGCUCCAGUUAUCUGUGAGUGGCUGGAUUGGUACAAAAACAAACAAACAAACAAACAAACCAACCUGUCAUACAUUAGAAUAAUUUGGAGGAUCUCUCUGAAUUUGAGGAAUAUAUAUAUAUAUAAUUUUUCCCCCUACAAAGUUGCAGCCUUUGAUUUUAGACACUGGAUUUGAAUUCUGGCUCUCUGGCUUUAUCCCAGUCAGUCUUCCCCGUUAUUUUGUGUUCUUGGGUGAACCACAAAGACAAAACAGUCCACAGAAAUUCACACAGUGGAAAGUGGGCUUAGGACAGAAACUUCACCCAUACUGAAAGUCGGGAUUCUGUACACCAGGUUAAAGCUCCUCUUAGGCUCUCUUCAAGAGUCAAAGCUAAGUUUUAAGUUUUAAUUACUGAACCUAAGAGAUCCAUAAGACAAAAUGUCUGUAGCCUGGAACCCCCUGGCCCAAGGACACAUAUUUCCUGAAAUACUGGAGGUCAUGGUUUAAGGCAGAUUCCCACCCAAGCGUUUUCACCUCCCUAAACAAGUUUGACCCAACCGCACUUGAUCACUCUAGCUUGGAGGUACGAGUGGGCAGGAAGAAUACUUGCUCCUGAUUGGAUGUAGGUGGGAGGUACACUUACACUUGCCCCUCAUUGGAGCUGAGGGGAAAUAUAGAGGUCUUACAGUUUAACCUUUUUAAGCCUCUGCAAAAUGUGACUCCAGGCCAUUUCCCCGGGAAUCCUGGAAGGGUCUGGGCCAGGUCCAUUAUUUAACUAAAGCUUGCUUCAAAUUUGUCUUAAAAAUUGUGAAACUGGCCUUUCUCUCUCAACUCUCAGGCUUAACAACUCUUGCUUACAUUAUUAAUUUACAAAACUUCAGGACAGCCAGGCUCAGACAGGUCUGGAGAAACGUGGCUAGUACCCUGGCAGUACAGUUAACAAGGCUGCUGCCCUGGUGGCUGACGUCACUCAUAACACCCCUCCCUCCACCCUGGCGUGGGGAGGGGAAGCACCAGCAAGUAGAGAGAAGCAGCCCUAGCCAUGGAAAAGUGUCGUGAAAUGAUGUCUCAGGCUUAGCGAUCAGUCCCAACAGGAUUUGCCACUGCCCAAUGCCAGAUUCCCUGCUGAGCAAGCAGAGCUCUAUCUAAAAGAAUGGUAAUGGAAGGGCCGUGUCACCGGGUGGAGGCAAGGGCUUUGGCUUAGAAUACUGGUUCAAACUCACAGGGGUAGCUGGUUGUGCCACCACUCGGAGGGAGAACAAGAGAUGUUACCCAAUAUCUUGGAGUCUCAGUUUCUUCCUUGAGAGGAGGAUUGACCAAACAAACUACUUUCCAAUGGGUGUGUUCAAUGGAGAUGUUCUUGGGAACUGGAAGGAUGCCAUUUUCCUAAGACAGGAUUGCAUUUGGAUUCUUUUUUUUAAAGGAGAAAAUAUAAGAACAAACAAUGCAGACCUGGUGUCCAUACAGGUAAGCUGAGGGACUCUUCCUGUGCUCUCAGAUAUGGUGGCCCGUGUAUGACUACCCACACAGAGUCAGGACACCAGGUUAGUGAGCCAAGAGCCAGCUUACUUUUCAAGAGACCAGGGGUGGGUGGGUGCGUUGAGUGGGGACUUCUAAAAAGUUCCUCUUUCUCUCUAUCCUACUCAAAACCAAGGACUGCACAUCCCUUUAAGGCAGCAGAAGACUUGUGUGACGGCCUGUAACUGAACCAGUGGGAAGAGGAGGAAUUUUGAGAGAUGACAGAUACCAUGCAUUGAGGACGUAGAACCUGAAGCCUUCAGGACGGGCUGCGAUUGGUGAGUUCUCUAGUUUUUAAUCUGUUUUUGAGAAGGAGAGAGAUGAUAAGAUUGCAUCUCUGCGGCUGAAGGGGAACUAGAACCUGUGGUUAUUCUCAGUUCCCAGUCUUUAAAGUUGGGUGGGGAAUGAGCGCGCACACUGGCUCAUGAACAAAGCUCUGUGAAGAAAUCCCACAGACGAUGGAUGGGCUUCUCAGCAGUCUACGCUCCCUGCGGGUUGAGACUGGACAGCCGAUAUGCACUGUCGCUGACGUUGGGCACUGAAACCGGGACCCGCUCUGGGUGGUGAUGGGUGCUGGGAGGCAGCCGUUUGUGGUUCUUCGCCCGGGCACAGAAGUGUACUACUUCCUAAUCUCUGCCUUCGAAAGGCUUUGUGGGCUUCAAACUCUCCGGGUUUGAAGCAGAUAUGUUGUAUUUAAAACCCGGAAGACUGACAUAAAGGGUUUUCUCUGAAGAUUACAGGAAUGAGCUGACUUCCUGGUUCAGGGACCGCCCAGCUGGUAAAGGAAAUGCAGAUUCUGGCCAUGUGCUGAUGGCCACCAGGAAGACUGCUGUUCAGAGCGUGUAACAGACACUCAUUCAUGCUAGAAGAAAUCCCAGCUGCCCACUCUUUUGGGAAUGAGAGGUUCGAGCCACAAACUGCACAAUGGAAGCAUGACUUGGGAGUCUUACUGAAUUCUCCUCCAGUGGCCAGGAAGAACAGCCUUUGCUAAUUACCUAGAGGAGUUCACAGGCCUCCGGAGACACGGACACAUACACCAUGAGAGGCAUGACACGCACUGCCUAGGUUUUCCCUGACAAGAAACAAACCGAACCCUGGUUCAAACAACACAAAACUAUCUUCCAAGUCGACAGCAGGUGGACCAAUGAGAAGACGGCUGUGACAGCUGGAAGGAGCACUCGCUGUUCUCAUGAGCUCUCAGGCUGCUCACCUGUGAACAGCUGGACACUCGAGGUAAGUUUCCCACGCGCCGACAGGCACUACAAUGUCUGCACUUAGCUCUGCAGAAUGAACCCAUGAAUAGACGCCCUUCUCCUAGGGAUUUAAACCAUGUUUUAUAUUUAAAUCUUGCAAUGUUGAACAGCAUCCUUGUCUUAUUUCUAUUGCUGCCCUGACCAAAAGCAACACUGAGGAGAAGAGGUCUAAUAAGACUCAGAACUCCAGUUUACAGUCCAUUGUGGGGGAAGCCAAGACAGGAACCUGAGGCAUCAUGGACCCAUAACAAAUUCAAGCAUCAGUUUUUAUCUACAAAAUGUGACAGUAAUACACACACACACACACACACACACACACACACACACACACAGAGAGAGAGAGAGAGAGAGAGAGAAACAAGUGUGCAUGGAGAUGCUGAGGUGAGAGUAAGUCAGAACUGGAGUUGGGGAGUAUCUCAGUGGUACCAGGUGAGCAUGCAGGGAGCCUCGGGCUCCACCCCCACUGCUGCAAACUAGAAUUAAAGAAAAUAGCUGGACAGCAAACAGUGAAAAGGAUUCUCAGUAAAUGCCCCCUGUUUUAAAUUUAGCUAUUGGAGUUAACCUUUAGAUACUGCAUUUAUCUAAAGGUUAUAUAAAAGCACAUUCUUUGGUUUAGAUAAAGCUCAGUAAAAUUCCGGGAUGUUAGUCUCAUUCUAUUAACCAAGACUCCAGUCUAGUACUGGGCCUGCUCAGGUUGGGGAACACAGAAAUCAGUCAUGGAUCUCUCUUAGGGAGUUACCACCUCAGGGGAAGCUAGUUCUACAACUGAAUCAGAGCCACGUGGGACAUACUCAUUGGGAAAGUGGUUCCUGACCUGCUGUGGCUGCAGCAGAGAAGGCGGCAGAAGCCUCCAGACCUGGAUGAGGAACAGAGCUGAAACCGACAAGAACUGCAGUGAAGCCCCUGCACCAUCUCCUGGCCUUUGAAGGCUCCAGAGCCCAGCCUUCCUACUGCGCAGUUAGUGGCUCUCCUGAAGAAUAGACAGAGUUGCCAAGAGUUACAGUCGCCCCACGCAAGGUCAGAAAAGGAGAAAAAAAAGAAUACUUAUCGGUGACAUUGGGAGUGUGAAGGUUUGCCAAUCCCGCAGAAGAUUCACUCCUUAGCAAUACAGCUGACAUUCUAAAAACAUCUUUCCAUUUUACACUGCAUUUUCUCCAGUGACACUUUUGAUUUUAUCAGUAGCACAGGAUGUUACGUACUAGAGACAAACUGCCCACCACCAAGCCACAGUA